CAGCCGCCGCGGUAAUACGGAGGGUGCAAGCGUUAUCUGGAUUUAUUGGGUUUAAAGGGUCCGUAGGCGGAUCUGUAAGUCAGUGGUGAAAUCUCACAGCUUAACUGUGAAACUGCCAUUGAUACUGCAGGUCUUGAGUAAAUUUGAAGUGGCUGGAAUAAGUAGUGUAGCGGUGAAAUGCAUAGAUAUUACUUAGAACACCAAUUGCGAAGGCAGGUCACUAAGAUUUAACUGACGCUGAUGGACGAAAGCGUGGGGAGCGAACAGGAUUAGAUACCCCAGUAGUCCCUGUCUCUUAUAC
rnacentral:rRNA from 1 species